rnacentral:tRNA from 1 species
GCCUUUGUGGUGUAGUGGUCAGCCCGCUCGACGCGUAACCGAGAGGUCCGUGGUUCGAUUUCCGGCGAAGGCG